rnacentral:rRNA from 1 species
GGCGUCAGGACGAACGCUGGCGGCGUAGCUUAACACGAUAGCAAGUCGAGCGAUGAAGCUCUUCGGAAGUGGAUUAGCGGCGGACGGGUGAGUAACACGUGGGUAACCUGCCUCAGUAGAGGGGAAUAGCCUUCCGAAAGGAAGAUUAAUACCGCAUAAGAUUGUAAUAUCGCAUGAUAUAGCAAUUAAAGGAGCAAUCCACGUAUGAGAUGGACCCGCGUCGCAUUAGCUAGUUGGUGAGGUAACGGCUCACCAAGGCGACGAUGCGUAGCCGACCUGAGAGGGUGAUCGGCCACAUUGGGACUGAGACACGGCCCAGACUCCUACGGGAGGCAGCAGUGGGGAAUAUUGCACAAUGGGGGAAACCCUGAUGCAGCAAACCGCCGCGUGAGUGAUGACGGUCUUCGGAUUGUAAAGCUCUGUCUUCAGGGACGAUAAUGACGGUACCUGAGGAGGAAGCCACGGCUAACUACGUGCCAGCAGCUGC